rnacentral:rRNA from 1 species
GACCUCGGAUUAGGUAGGAAUACCCGCUGAACUUAAGCAUAUCAAUAAGCGGAGG